UGAGGAAUAUUGGUCAAUGGACGGAAGUCUGAACCAGCCAUGCCGCGUGAAGGAUGAAGGCGUUCUGCGUUGUAAACUUCUUUUAUUUAGGAAGAAACCACUGAUUUCUAUUAGUGUUGACGGUAUUAAAUGAAUAAGCACCGGCUAACUCCGUGCCAGCAGCCGCGGUAAUACGGAGGGUGCAAGCGUUAUCCGGAUUUACUGGGUUUAAAGGGUGUGUAGGCGGACUUUUAAGUCAGGGGUGAAAUCCCGAGGCUCAACCUCGGAACUGCCUUUGAUACUAUUAGUCUUGAAUUAUGUUGAGGUUGGCGGAAUAUAACAUGUAGCGGUGAAAUGCAUAGAUAUGUUAUAGAACACCGAUUGCGAAGGCAGCUGGCUAAACAUAUAUUGACGCUGAGGC
rnacentral:rRNA from 1 species